ACUCUCACUGACGGUUAAACUGUCCGUGGUGGCCCACCAGACGGUCGGUCAUGUCCGUAUUUUAAUUUAUAUACUUAGAUAUACAUUAUAUAUUCUAUCUGUUCUAUCUCUAGUGACCAUCUACUCCUAAAACACUCUUUAGUCAGCUUGUUUUUUUAUUUAUUUAUUUCUUCUUCUUUUUCUUCUUCAUCUUCAGAGCCAGUGUUUGCUCGUGACAGUGCCAAAUAAUUAUUUUGUGUUUCGCGGGUUUUUUUUUCAAAUUUUUAUUUUUUUGUGUGGUGAUUUAUAAAUGACAGGACUUGAGAUUUUUAAUUGUAAAUAAGUCUGAGGAUUAUGAACGAGAUUGGUACAUGUGCUUGGUGACUGAGAUUUUUUUUAAUUAUCAGAAAUUACGUGCAUACAACUUCCUGUUAAUUUUUUGAGCUCCUCGAGAGUCGCUAACUGAAGGAGAAGAAGGAGGAAGAGGAAGAGGAGUGGAGAGAAGAUGGUGUCGAGGCGAAAAAUUCUCUCUCGCUCGCGGGACAACCUUGCUGAUUCCCAGUACGAUGAUCAGGAAGAGGAGGACGUUUGGUAUAAUUUAGAUAAGUUGUACAAGGACCACAUACAAGAGGUCCUGGACAAGUGGAACCAGAUAGACGACGAGAUAUGGGCUAAGGUAAUAGUCUUCGAGCGAAACAGAAGAGUCGCUAAAGCUUACGCCCGGGCACCAGUUCUCACGGUCAACGACUCCAUUGACGGUUUCGAUGGCUUUAGGAUAGGCCUCUGUGGUUUUGAUAACCCAAUGAGAGAUCCUAAAACAGAAGAGACUAAAAGACACAUCGACCUAGGAGUAAAAAUAAAAAUGGAUGACAAAGGGAAUAUCCUGAUAAAGAGACUGUGCAAAAGCAACGUUUACAUAAAGACUACACAUCCCGAAGAAAACGCGGUCGGCGCAGAGAUACUGAGAAAUUCUCAGGGUGCGUUGGAGUUUGAAAAACCAGGAAAAUUAUUCGACAUGGCUAAAUACGAACAGAAUUUAGAACGGGAGACCCGUCGCUCAUAUCCAGAUCGCAGAAGACUUGAAAAACAAUGUCUCAGUGCAAUCGUCUUCGUGAGAACAGAAGCUGAAUUGCUGAAGUGUCCUGUCUGGGUUCUUAUUGUCAACGUCGUUGGCUUGGAGUUGCUCAAAAGCAAACUCCCUAUAUUACCAGCGCUAAAGAGGUCUGUGGAUAUCAAAAAUCGACCAAGAAUUCCGAUACCUGACGAAGAUCCUUACAGCGUAGCUGGUGUUGCAUCGGCUUCUGGACCCAGUGAAUUACGCGAUGCAGUCAGAGAUCCACGGCAUGAACAGAUUUACGGCCAAUCAGCGGCUUAUCAUCGGCGACGUACUGAAAAACCGCCGAAACUUCCUCCCCGGGAGAAUCUUUACGGUCAAAAUAUUCCUAAGCCUGACUAUGACGAUAUCGAAGAUGAUUACGGCAGCAAUGGUGUGAGACCAGCGGUGGUAGUUACCGAGGAUUCGAAGAAGAAUAACAAAAAGAACGACAGAAAGAACGACGAUCCUUAUUACUGUGGUAUGAGGGCACGUGUACCAAAUUUUGUAAAAAUGGCAAAGAACAGCCAAAUAAGAAUACUUCCGGCGUAUGGAACGGGGAGACCGCAACCAGCACCAGCACAAACACAAAUAUCAGCCCCGGCGUACGUCGGUUACAACAGUAGUCAGUCUCAGUCAUCACAUAUUUAUGCGAGUCACGCACCAAACAGACGACCACCUAUUAUGUAUCACGCCCGUAGCUUCGAGAGUGGUUUAGGUACGUAGCUUUUAGGCGAACGUUAACAGCUAGGCUUUGACGAGAAGAAAUAAUAGUUUUAUCCUCGUCAUUAAGACUCAGACGAUCGGAUAGACUCGCCCUAUAAUCACAUUUACGGACGAUUACCCAUUCCAACACGCAGUUUUAUACCACCAGUACCCCGUGGCAUGUACAUCGGAGAGUGGGAUUAAAUAAUAACUUAUGACUAUUAAGCAACAUCA
rnacentral:misc_RNA from 1 species